UACGGAGGGGGCUAGCGUUUGUUCGGAAUUACUGGGCGUAAAGCGCACGUAGGCGGCUUUGCAAGUCAGAGGUGAAAGCCCGGGGGCUCAACCCCCGGAAUUGCCUUUGAGACUGCAUCGCUAGAAUUGUGGAGAGGUAAGUGGAAUUCCGAGUGUAGAGGUGAAAUUUCGUAGAUAUUCGGAAGAACACCAGUGGCGAAGGCGGCUACCUGGACCAGCACUGACACUGAGGCACGAAAGCGUGGGGAGCAAACAGG
rnacentral:rRNA from 1 species